rnacentral:SRP_RNA from 1 species
ACGUGCCUCUUACGUGGCGUUAUCUUGGAAAACUCCCCCAGGACCGGAAGGUAGCAAGGGUAUUCGAGCUAUGACG